rnacentral:lncRNA from 1 species
GACUCCUCUACCCCUACCCAACCUCCCCACGGCAGUAACUCACGGCGACUUGGCCGGAAAAUGACGCAUCGGGUCCUUGAAGUUUCACUGUAGCAGAAGUGGUCAACGUCGAUAUCUUCCGUUUCCGGCCGUCUCCGGCCACCAAACCGGCGUCGAAGGUUCGGUUUUUGGCAAGGAUCAUUUUGCCCGUAGCCUCAAGCCACGAUUUGCAGCGUGGAGGAAGAAUCGAAGGUUUGAAUUUCUUGACACUGUUCACAUUUCGGGGCAAUGUCGCGAGCUACGGCUAGAUGAAGGAACUCGUUUGCGUGGUCGCCCAAUACAUAUGA